rnacentral:misc_RNA from 1 species
GAAUCUCUCUCCCUUUCUCUCCUCUCUCUCCUCGCCCUCUCCGUCGAGAUCUCCGUCGAUGCCUCUGCUUCAGUUCCCCUCUCUCACUUCUUCAAGACCAGGCCUGGUGCUUCAUCAGGGAUAUUUUUGGGGGCAGUAACGCUGCCUGGUGUUAUGGUAUCAAAGUUGAUUCAGAUGUCAACAGCAGUAUCUUUAAAUCAAUCUGGAAGUGAAGAGCUUAAAAACCUGCAACUACUGUAUUGGGUGACAUCUGCAAGUUGCUACACGGUGCUAGCUUACCUGUGGUUCAUUUUUUACCAUCAAUCAGACAGCAAGA